rnacentral:rRNA from 1 species
CCUACGGGAGGCAGCAGUGGGGAAUAUUGCGCAAUGGGCGGAAGCCUGACGCAGCGACGCCGUGUGGGGGAUGAAGGCCUUCGGGUUGUAAACCUCUUUCGUCAUCGACGAAGUCUUGCCUUGUGUGGGUGGGGUGACGGUAGGUGGGGAAGAAGCGCCGGCUAACUACGUGCCAGCAGCCGCGGUAAUACGUAGGGCGCGAGCGUUGUCCGGAUUUAUUGGGCGUAAAGAGCUCGUAGGUGGUUUGUUGCGUCUGCCGUGAAAGCUCGUGGCUUAACUGCGGGUUUGCGGUGGAUACGGGCGGACUUGAGGCAGGUAGGGGAGAAUGGAAUUCCCGGUGUAGCGGUGAAAUGCGCAGAUAUCGGGAGGAACACCGGUGGCGAAGGCGGUUCUCUGGGCCUGUUCUGACACUGAGGAGCGAAAGCGUGGGGAGCGAACAG